rnacentral:tRNA from 10 species
ACCAUGUUGGGCAGGCUGGUCUCGAAUCCUGACCUCAAGUGAUCUGCCCACCUUGGCCUCCCAAAUUGCUGGGAUUACAGGUGUGAGCCACUGCACCUGCCCCCUUGAUAUCUCAUUUAAUUCUCCUAACAUCAUCCUCAUAAGGUAGUUACUGAUUCUCACUGUACAGGGAAGAAAAUGGAGAAUUAGGAGAGGUAACAACUUGGCCAGGACAUGCAGCUUUUAAAGGGCUGUGCUCGAUUUAAGUCCAGGUGGGACUGCCUCCAGGGUAUAUAUGCCGUUUCCUUGUAUUUGACUCCAUUUUACAGAAAACAUGUAUGUACAUGUUGCACACACAUACAGAUGUUCCCAGCUGGAAGGACACUCCAGUUAAUGGAUAGUAAGUACUAUUGGUGGUAUUAUGAGAAUUUCAUCAUCUUCUUCUUCUCUGUUUUUUUUUUUUGGGUUGUCUACAUUUGAUACAAUACAUAUAUAUUACUUGUUAAUAAAAACCAAGAGUGAAAAAAGCAAAAAAGCGAGCAAGAGAUCUGUACUGAUAUAUGUUGCUUCCAGGCAUAUCAAAACUAACUUGUAUAUUCUGAGUUUAUUCAUUCAAUAAAAACUUCCUAAGCUCCUACUAUAAGCAAAUAAUUUAUUUGUGUGGAAACAUAAGGCAUCCUCUCCACAAGAAAGUAACUGCUGUAUUUCCAAAACAAUGCCUUAAAGUUUUGCAACAAGGUGACUAUUAUCCAUAAUAAGAAUAGUUUACAUUUUUGUUUUUCUUUAUAUUCAGCAAGUCAAAAGCUCUCCCCUCCCUCUUCAAGUGUGAAGACAGCAAGGAAGCUUGUGGAUUACUUGCUCUUGUUGGAUAAAGAAGAGAAACAUGUCAAGAGGCACAUGAAGGCUGCUAUCUUUUUUCUCCUAUGUGGAUGAGGACCUUGGAUGGUGUAGAUGAAGUUUAGGAGCAGCAGGCAGCUGCUGUAGCAGUUUAGUGCCUAAUUGUAAAAUGGAGUGUAUUGGAAGAAGAGAAAGGCCUCACUCUUCUGAGGCCUGGGUCAGCUUCAGCACCACAGCUCAGUACAGAUGCCCAAGGGCCAAUGGAUUGAGAACUUGGAUGGACACCCAUCCUUUGGUUCUGGAAUGCUACUCAGCCCCACGAGGACCCAAGCAAGCGUCCCUAAAAGUCAAAGCCUCUAGCAGGAACACAUUAUCUUUUUCUAAUACCAUUGGCUCUAGUGUUCUUUAUAUUUUAUUUGCAUAAAGGCAGCUUGGUGCACGAGAAGCAGCUUGAACUCUGAAGUCUGGUGGACUCAGGCUAAAACCUGAUUCUGGUUUCUACUGCUGUGUGACCUCAGGGCAAGUUAAUUAACCACUGGGAUUUGUUUGUUUUUGUUUUUUGAGACAGGGUCUUGCUCUGUCACCCAGGCUGGAGUGUAGUGGCAUGGCCACGGCUCACUGCAGCCUUGACCUGCUAAACUCAAGCAAUCUUCUUGCUUCAGCCUCCCAAGUAGCACGGAUUACAGGUGUGUGCUACCAUGCAUGGCUAAUUUUUUGUUUUUUAUUUUUGUAGAGAAGAGGUCUCACUAUUUUGCCCAGGAUGGUUUUGAACUCCUAGACUCAAGAAAUCCUCCUCCUUAGCCUCCCAAAUUGCUGGGAUUACAGGCAUGAGCCACCAUGCCCAGUCCAACCACUUGGAACUUAAUACCAUUCACUGAAUAAAAAGAACUAAAACCACCUGGCACCCUGUGGGCACCUGGUACAUGCAGCGUGCUUUCUUCCUUUAAGUUGGUGUGUCUCACAGGGAGCAGGCAUCAUCGAGGAACCAGUUUUCCAAGUUUUCAAAGCCCCUUCAUUAUUUGCUUUACCCAUAAGUGGCCCCCCCACCUUUUUUUUUUUUAAUCUUACGUUUUGUGUUUCUGGAUAACGACUUGACAAAGAAAAGCCAUCCCCUUCCCCAUUUUCCAAACUAGCAGGAGAGGCUGGAUGCAGUGGCUCAUGCCUGCAAUCCCAGCACUUUGGGAGGCCAAGGUGGGUGGAUCACCUGAGGUCAGGAGUUUAAGACCAGCCUGGCCAACAUGGCGAAACCCCGUCUCUACUAAAAGUACGAAAAUUAGCCAGACGUGGUGGUGGGCACCUGUAAUCCCAGCUACUUGGGAGGCUGAGGCAGGAGAAUCGCUUGAACUCGGGACGCAGAGGUUGCAGUAAGCCAAGAUCACAUCAUUGCACUCCAGCCUGGGUGACAGGAGUGAGACUCCGUCUCAAAAAACAAAAACAAAAAACAAAAACAAAAACAAAAAAACUAACAAGAGAAGGAAGUCAGCACAAGAAAUGCAGGUUUAGCAGUACAUGGUGGAAUGCUCGUGCAGAAACCCAUGUUCUUCAGCACACGAUUUUGAGGAGCAUUUCCCUCCUUGUGGAAUUCACCAGCUGACAGAGAGAAUCCCGGGGUUUGUUCUGCCGCCCCAUUUCCGGCGAGGGGCUACAGACAGCCCACAGGCAGACGCUCUGGGUGAAGACAUGCAGGGAGCGCGAUGGACUCAAGAGACACCCCAAGGUGUCCCUUGGUACCUCUGGAAGAGGAAGAAAGGACCUAUGAAUGGACAGUGGUCUCAACGCCUACCUCCAGGGACUCAGACGCCCCCUCUUCCUGCCAAGUCUUCACCAGAACUCUGUAGAUAGAUUCUCUUUGGAAGUCUGAGAGUCUAGGUCAAGGGUUUGGGGUAAAAGGUGUAAAGAAAGGAAAGCAGAUUUUUUGGAUAGCCCAAAAUGUUCUUCUAAUCUAUUUGUUCAAUACUCCGAAAAUCAGCAAUCGAUCUUGCAAUUCAAGGGGGAAAAUAUAAAGAGACCUAUGACGCCAGGUUUGAAAUAACAACAGAGAUCAUGGAAAAAGGAUUCCCCAUAUUAGCAAGAGCGUCAUGCUGCACAGGGCUAAGAGGGUGUGGCCUCAUCCUGUCCUUCCCGGCUGGAAUUGGAAUAAAGCUUCAUGGCUCCACUUCACCAGUUCCUCGGUCACAUAGCCUCUGCCCUAGUCUCAUCAACAGCACAUCGGCCUACAGCUAAGACACACGAGAGGUCACUGCCUCCUCUUUCUCACCAGGCCACAUAGACGCUGCCCUAGUCUCAUCAACAGCACAUCGGCUCACAGCUCAGACACACCAGAGGUCAACGCCUCCUCUUUCUUACCACAGUUGUGAAGUCCUGCAGACUAGCCAGUGCUUUAAGAAGGAGAUGCUGAGGCUCAGAAUUGGGCACUAUAUUAAUGCACUCUAGGGUGGGUGUGAAAGAAGCUCUGGCCUGCCUGGGGCGUCAGGACCUGUGGAGGACCCGUGGAGAAGAGGCGGCAGGGAGACAGGGGACAGACACUGGGCUGGGCGUUAGGGCCCGGGUCCUGGCGCUGCUGAUGGCAUCAUGGCCUCUGCAAGACGGUAGUGGCCACGGAAGCUCUGCCUCACUGUCUCAUUUGUAAAUUGGCUGGGCAAACAGGAUUCACAGCGCCUCCUCCAGCUCCAACACUCAAGAGGCCACAAGUGAGAGCAGAAGCCACAGGCUGCCCUCGGCGGCCCCUGAGCCUCUCUUCCCUUUCCAGCUGCCCAGGCUUCCAAGUCUCCUCUUCAGCUCCUCCUGGAAGAGCUGCCGCUCUCUCUACAUUGUCCUUCCUUACCAUUCUUACCUUUUCUUUAGCUCUGUUCUUUCCUUUCCAUCCCCUAACACUGCAGUCCCUGACCUUUUUGGCACCAGAGACCAGUUUCAUGGAAGACAAUUUUUCCAAGGAUGGUAGGGGCAAGAGGGAUGGUUUUGGUAUGAAACUGUCCCACCUCAGAUGAUCAGGCAUUAGAUUCUCAUAAGACGCGUGCAACCUAGAUCUGUUGCGUGUGCGGUUCACAAUAGGGCUCGCAUUCCUAUGAGAGUCCAGUGCCGCCGCUGAUCUGACAGGAGGCGGAGCUCUCAGGAGGUAACGCUGUCUCACAGGCCACUCACCUACUGCUGCGCAGCCCAGCUCCUAACAGGCCAUGGACCAGUGCCCAUCCACAGCCCAGGGGCUGGGGACACCUGCCCUAACAUAUACCUAUAAAAACUCUUAAAGGGCCAGGCAUGGUGGCUCACGCCUGUAAUCCCAGCACUUUGGGAAGCUGAGGCAGGUGCAUCACCUGAGGUCAGGAGUUUGAGACCAGCCUGACCAACAUGGAGAAACCCCAUCUCUAUAAAAAAUACAAAAUUAGCCGGGUGUGAUGGCAUGUGGCUGUAAUCCUAGCUACUUGGGAGGCUGAGGCAGGAGAACUGCUUGAAUCCGGAAGGUGGAGGUUGCGGUGAGCCGAGAUUGCGCCAUUGCACUCCAGACUAGGCAACAAGAGUGAAACUCCGUCUCAAAAAAAACAAAAACAAAAACAAAAACAAAAACAAAAACAAAAACAAACUUCUUAAGGAAAGCCAAGUAACUAACUGCACUUCAGCUAAGGGUCUCCAUAUAGCGUUGCCCUGUGGAAGCAAGGCUGUUUCAAUAGCCCAAGGCAAACGUACAAGUGCACACAUGUCUUUGUGUGUGUGUGUGGCAUGGGAGGUGGGGCUCAACCCCAACUCACCACUGCCACCAUUACGAGUACCAAAAAACAAACACGACCUACCUUGCUGGCCACCACAAGCUGCACCAUUCCCGUGGCGGAGCGAAGAAUGGCCACUGCUUCCUCGUGGGAGAGCCCGACCAGUAAAUGACCAUUGAUUACCAGCAGCUCAUCUCCUAAGGACAGCCUGCCAUCCCUGAGGAAAGGGAGAUGGGAAAAAGAUCCCUUGUCAAGACAUUCUGGGCCUGAGAAGGGCCAUUUUCUGGAGCUAGGGAGGGUUGUGAGGAGGGACGGUUAAGAUUGGGCUAAAGAGGAUACUGUGAUGGCCAGAGGCAGUUGGGGAUGCGAUUGUUUAUUCAUGUGUCCAGAUUCCCAUCAGAGGAUUCCCUCCAUGAUUUCAGGCAGUGGCUCAGCAAUAUGCACAUUAAGGUCACCGGCCUACCUGGCAUCAAUGUCAGUGAAACUCCCAUCCAGGUGGAGAUGUUGAUAGAGGAACCAAGACCCCAAGGUUUGAGGAGAGUCGAGUCAUUCGUUUCUUAAUCCUCCCUGCCAUCCUGCCCUGAUGACUGAGUCACUGAGCUAAGCUCAGAAACAGCAGAGGUAUCCUAAGCCCACCUGCAUUCCUUACCUAAUGCACUGCACUCCUCUCUUCCCAGGGAUGUGACCCUGACCAGAUGUCCUCUGGGGCACCUGUGAUUCACACUACACUACACGUGUCUCUAUCUCCCAACAGAGUUACAGGUCCCAGAGGGUAAAGUCUCUCACUCUCGGCACCUUGUUUUCUUUUUUUUAAAGUAUGUUUUUUUGUGUGUGUUUGUUUUUGAGACAGAGUCUUGCUCUGUCAUCCAGGCCGGAGUGGAGUGGCACAAUCCUGGCUCACUGCAGCCUGGAACUCCUGGGCUCAAGUGAUCCUCCUGCCUCAGCCUCCUGAGUACCUAGGACUACAAGUGCGUGCCACCAGGCCUGGUUUCUGCUUCUUUUUCAUCCUUGAGUCUCUCCAGCCAAGCUUCAUGUACAGAAGGACGAAUCAAAACAAACAAACAAAAAAAAAAAACAAAUCCCGCCACCCGCCCCCCCCAAAAAAAAGCAAUUAAGAAAGGAAAAGAACAAAUAAACUGCCUAAACUGCUGUCACUGCAGGUAUCAGACCUGGGCUACAAACACGGUGUACACAAACAUUUUCUGUUUCUUUCCCUUAAAUUAAAUUAUGCCUGACUCAACUUUCUUCCCAUUGGGCUGGCAAGAGACUCAGGUGUCAUGGGGACUGCCUCCCCUAGGGAGGGUCAGGGCUUGGCAUGGCACACUGUGCCAGAGCACUGGACAGGCCCCUUCAAUCGUGGUGAGUCAACAGUUCUGUGGAUUCCACCAGAGCCUCCAGUGCUCUGAUCUCCCAGGAUCCCAAAGGAGCCAGACAUGGCUGAAUGUGGGAUAGGAAAGCUGGUGAGGCAGAGGGACCUCGAGCCUCGGAUCCCACCGCAUCCUCUAGACCAAGCUUGGCCAACCUGUGGCCUGCAUGUGGCCCAGGAUGGCUUUGAACAUGGCCCAACACAAAUUGGUAAACUUUCUUAAAACAUGAUGAGAUUUUUUGGUGAUGUUUUUUAAGCUCAUCAGCUAUCGUUAGUGUUAAUGUAGUUUAUGUGUAGCCCAAGACAAUUCUUCCUCUUCCAAUGUGGCCCAGGGAAGCCAAAAGAUUGGACUUCUCUGUUCUAAAGGUUCACAUCAGCACCUAGGGUGCUGCCAUGAAACACAUGCACGCCUCCGACACGCCCAGAAGCUCCGUUUGUCUCCAGUCUCUAGGCUCUCCCCUGGCUUUCUUUCAAUGAAUCAACUGACUUCUCUCUUUCCAUCCUUCCCUCCCCUUUCCUUCCUUCAACAGCUUUUCUCUCACUUUCUGUCUCCUUCCUCUAGGGCAUGUGCCAUUGUCUUUUCUAUGAAUUUGGGCUUUAACAGGAGACAGGAGACACCAGAGAAUUCUGAUAGUCUCUGUUUCUGUCCUUCAAAAAUUCCUGAAGCAGAGAAAUGCUAAGGGCCCCACUAGUUGUUUGGAAUGGUGGGAGAAGGGGAAUGGGAAGACCACAGAAGAAACAAGCUGGAAUCUCAGGAGCUGUGUGGGUGGGCCACUCAGGAGCUGUUUCCUAUGGGAGGAGAGGGAUUGAGGAAUCAAGAACACAAUGGUUCAGACCAGUGUCCUGGGCUUACUAAUUCAGAAUGCCAUCAAGACCAUCUCCAUCCCUUGGGAGGCUGAGAUGGAUGGAUCACGAGGUCAGGAGUUCAAGACCAGCCUGGCCAACACAGUGAAACCCCGUCUCUACUAAAAAUACAAAAAUUAGCCGGGUAUGGUGGCAAGCGCCUGUAGUCCCAGCUACUUGGGAGGUGGAGGCAGAAAAAUCACUUGAACCUGGGAGGCGGAGGUUGUGGUGAGCCGAGAUCGCGCCACUGCACUUCAGCCUAGGCAACAGAGCGAGACUUCACCUCAAAAAAGAAAAAAAGACCAUCCCCACUCCCUUUUCCUAUUUCCCUCUUUCAUUUCUCUCAUCUCCUGUUACUAACUAAAAUGCCCCGCUUGUGAAUCGUAUAGCCCAGAGGCUCAAAGAGACACACACACACAACUCCAGGCUAAGAAUGAAAUGAAAAGGAUGAGACCCAAUAGAAAUGGCUCAGAUGGAAAAUAGACAAGAACAGUUCUUUGUAAGUUUAUCUCUGGGCACAGGAAUUUCCUAAUGGCCAACUUGUUAAAGGAAGACUAGAACUUAAGACCUAUGAUUAAUGGGAAACUGUCUAUCUGACAGGAGCUCCUCAAAACAUAUGUCAUUUUGGAAGUUAAGUAAUGCUCUUUGGAGUAAAAACCACCUAAGGUCUUAAUCCUUCAAUAAUUACUACCACCCAGACAACUAACAAUUGCAGUUAAUCUUAUCUCUACUUUAGUGAUUAGCAUCCUAUUCUGUAAUAAAAGA